AUAGAUUUAUAGGCACAGAUACCUAGGCUUAGGCAGCGUGCACGCUCACCCGGUUAUCAGUAACUUCAUUGCAAUAUUUUUAUCGUCAUCAUGUUUGUCACAUGGUACAUAUAAGUAAGGGAAAAUCCAAUGGGGGCGGGGGGGGGUCCGUCCACCUGUAUAGUGAAAGGGAGUCACUGAACAUUAUGGAAGCGUGCAGCAAACAAGGUGUGAAUCACAAUGGAGUGUCCCUAGCUUUCCAUAAAUAGCGACCACCACACCACACAAUAGGGGAGGGUGAAAGGAGAAAGACCCCAGCCACAAGCAUCUCUGCUCUCGAGCUCCAGCCAGCAGUGAACGGGAGUGGUCUAAAUAAACGACCAAACUGCAGGCUUUAAGUAGCUCUAAGUAGCAGCUCGGCAGGACUGUGUGGUUAGAGCGCGGAUAUUUGAAGGAUAUUUUUGUAAUGCACCGUGGGUCUCUGUAAUUAACAGUCCCCGUGUGAUUUUUAUUUUUCAGUGGACAGCCGGUGGGGAGCAGGGGAGGACAAACGAGUUUCGGCAGAAGAGGAGGGAAGUGGAGCACAAGGAGUCUGCCUCUAACGCCAGCCCUGUGGUGGGAAGGAAUCAGCAGGGCCGGCUCGCUUCCUCUGCUCUGGCGACGGUGUCCGGCCUGCCCAGUGGUGGUGGUGGUGGUGGGGGCCCACGACUCGCGGAGCCCAGCCUCACCCUGGAGUCGGGGUUGUUUGGGAAUGAAGACGCCAUCUCUAAGGCUAAAAGCGCCUUAUUUAAGGAUUUCGAAGAUAGGCGAUGGUGAUGGCAGUGCACAACACGGAGAAUCCGAAACUUGGAACCGCUGCGAUGUAUCGGCGGCUUCGCUACCCUAAUUAGAAAUGUCCUACUUUAGUCCGAUGGCUGAACGGACUCGACGUUCGGAAUACAGGAGGAGGCAGUACAAAACAGAUGACAACACGGCCGUCGCAUACCACGGCCAAGAGAAAUUGGAAGAGAGAAGAAAAAUAAUGUGAAAUGAAAGGAUCAGGGUGGAACGGAGAAACGGGGGCAGAAGAGGCUACACAAAGGCGCUGCUGCUGCUGCUGCACAGAUGAGCGCAGCGAUUCGUGGCAGCGGCGGUUGGGAUCGCGGCGCCACGCGCUGUGCCGGGACACGAGAGAGGGAGCGGCAAGGCAGCGAGGCACGCGUCCAGGCCCUGUUGACGCUGCUGGGGUGCUUCGAGUCCAUUUCCAUUCAUUGGGUAGAGCCCUGUGAGCCAUUCGGCUCUUGAGUCGGGUGCAACCGCAACAAACAAAAAACAUGAACAAGAAAAACAUCUUAAAGUGACUACGUGACUGUGCAAACAGAAAAUCCAGGAAAAAACAUAAAAAUAUUCCUGAAAUAGCACCGAAACCCAACGCUGUAUGCAAGAAUCCCAGUGGGAUGCAAGUCAAACAACAACAACCACAAGACAACUAAGAUUAAGGCCAUCAGUCUAACUCCAUACUACAAUAAACAAAAACAUGGCCGAGCCAAAAAACGUUU